ACCGAAUAGAUACCCGGGUAGUCCACGCCCUAAACUAUGCGAACUGGAUGUUGGGUACAUUACGGUACUCAGUGUCGAAAGCUAAACGCGUUAAGUUCGCCGCCUGGGGAGUACGGUCGCAAGACUGAAACUCAAAGGAAUUGACGAGGGCCCGCACAAGCGGUGGAGUAUGUGGUUUAAUUCGAUGCAACGCGAAGAACCUUACCUGGCCUUGACAUCUGUCGAAUCCUGCAGAGAUGCGGGAGUGCCGCAAGGAACGACAAGACAGGUGCUGCAUGGCUGUCGUCAGCUCGUGUCGUGAGAUGUUAGGGUUAAC
rnacentral:rRNA from 1 species